rnacentral:pre_miRNA from 1 species
GGUGUGUGAGUGUGCAUAUGUGAGUGUAGGUGUGUGCAUGUGUGUAGGUGUGUGUGUAGGUGUGUGCGCACAUGUGAA